UGGACAGAAGGGUUUUUAUAAAGGUGUACAAAACACAUCUCUGUUCAUUUCUCCAGUCCAUAGGGGGGGCGCUGCUGUGCCUCAUGCCAGCAAUUUACACGUCAGUGCUUGCUUCACAAAACAGAAAAAAAGGAAACAAAAACUGAAAGAAUUAUUUCAGUCGAUUUUGACCGCAGCAUAAAUUUUCCGUAUGAACACAUAAGAGGCAUAGAAGCCAAUCGUUCCCGUUAGCAGCCAGAAAGACAAAACCAUCAGGGUUGUGUAGCCAAAAUACAACAGAGAGGGAAUGAACUCCACAAUGUCCAGCUGGGAGGGAAAAAGAAAGAAAGAAAGAAUGUAAAUGUUGAGUACCUCAAAACAGAGAUAAAUGUGUUAUUGGAUA